rnacentral:sRNA from 1 species
UAAGUAACAACUGAGUCAGCAUAUACGGA